AUGACUGCCAAAGAGUUUGAGGAGCUUGCCCUCAAUGGCCACAAUUACCCUACAUGGGCUAUGGACAUCAAGAUCAGUCUUGCAUCCCGUGGGAUAGCGCGUGCAAUACAACCCCCGGAGACUCCUCUCCCGGAUGGGGCCAUGCCGCUGACAGAACAACAGAACUAUGCUGCCUUAUUCAUCAUAAGGCACCAUAUUCAUCCAGAUCUCAAGUCUGAGUAUUUACAAAAGGAAUCUCCUAGUACUCUGUUUCUGGCCCUCAAAACAAGGUAUGAACAGCAGAAUGCAGUAGUCCUGCCAGAAGCACUCCAUGAUUGGACUCAUCUCCAUCUUCAGGAUUUCAAGUCCAUUGGUGAGUACAAUCAUGCUGUUCAUAAGAUAUGUUCCAAACUGCGUUUUUGUGAGAAGGAACCUACCGAGGGGGAGAAGAUAGAGAAAACUUUGUCUACUAUGCUCCCUUCAGAUAGGAUCCUCCAACAGUAA
rnacentral:rRNA from 1 species